CGGGUGAGUAAUGCCUAGGAAAUUGCCCUGAUGUGGGGGAUAACCAUUGGAAACGAUGGCUAAUACCGCAUGAUGCCUACGGGCCAAAGAGGGGGACCUUCGGGCCUCUCGCGUCAGGAUAUGCCUAGGUGGGAUUAGCUAGUUGGUGAGGUAAGGGCUCACCAAGGCGACGAUCCCUAGCUGGUCUGAGAGGAUGAUCAGCCACACUGGAACUGAGACACGGUCCAGACUCCUACGGGAGGCAGCAGUGGGGAAUAUUGCACAAUGGGCGCAAGCCUGAUGCAGCCAUGCCGCGUGUGUGAAGAAGGCCUUCGGGUUGUAAAG
rnacentral:rRNA from 1 species